rnacentral:sRNA from 1 species
ACUUUCUCGAAUAGAAUAUACAAAUAUUAAUAGGAUUAUAGGG